UGGGGAAUAUUGCACAAUGGGCGCAAGCCUGAUGCAGCCAUGCCGCGUGUGUGAAGAAGGCCUUCGGGUUGUAAAGCACUUUCAGCGAGGAGGAAGGUGGUGAACUUAAUACGUUCAUCAAUUGACGUUACUCGCAGAAGAAGCACCGGCUAACUCCGUGCCAGCAGCCGCGGUAAUACGGAGGGUGCAAGCGUUAAUCGGAAUUACUGGGCGUAAAGCGCACGCAGGCGGUUUGUUAAGUCAGAUGUGAAAUCCCCGGGCUCAACCUGGGAACUGCAUUUGAAACUGGCAAGCUAGAGUCUCGUAGAGGGGGGUAGAAUUCCAGGUGUAGCGGUGAAAUGCGUAGAGAUCUGGAGGAAUACCGGUGGCGAAAGGCGGCCCCCUGGACGAAGACUGACGCUCAGGUGCGAAAAGCGUGGGGAGCAAAACAGGAUUAGAUACCCUGGUAGUCCACGCUGUAAAACGAUGUCGAUUUUGGAGGUUGUGCCCUUGAGGCGUGGCUUCCGGAGCUAACGCGUUAAAAUCGACCGCCUGGGGAGUACGGCCGC
rnacentral:rRNA from 1 species